ACAGGUGCCGCAACAUGGAUCCUGGUAUUUUGUAACUGGAAUUCCUGCUGUUUCUGAAAAUCGGAUUUAAUAAGGAUUCGUCGAAGACUUUCCGCUGUACCUAUCCUCAGACAAUUCCACCGAUGGCUGACAUCAGUUGAUGUUGACAAAGACCUGCGCACAAUCUAUCAACACUGUAGGUAGGUGUUCAUGAUUUGGUCCGAGAUCAGAAGAGGGGAUAUCUGUCCGAUCUUCUAAGUCCCGACAACAUCAAAGUCCAGUGGAUGGAGGACUUUCUCAAGGCCUUCACGCCAGGGUCUACCAAGUCCACCUGGGGUCUGCGAUUAGUUUCCUGGAAUUCACCGUCUCCACACACCGCAACGAAGCCACCCAUGAAACGGAAGCCGCCAUUGCGGAGCUUAAAAGGACACAGAGAUAGUUUCUUUCCUUCAUUGUUUUCUGAUGUUCGUGUAUACAUAUUUGCAUCACUUAUUCAUGUCUGCUUUCCUUACAGACAACAUGAUCAAACCGGAGGAGAUAGUACAAGUCAUCGAAAGCGACCACGCGCGUGCCGUCCAGAAGAGGCUCUCCAGGACGACCCCGUUCACUUCCUUGGACGUACUGAGGAAAUGCAGAAAUUACAUAAUGUUUAGGCUCCUCAUGGAGAACGGCCAAAGAACAGGGGCCCUGAUGUCAAUCACCCCCAGACUUAUAAGCCAAGCAGAUGUUCGCGCGGAGGGAGCCAUAUUAACGAUAAGUUAUUUUUACGAUUAUUUAGUUACUUUUCUUGAUAUUGAUCUGCAGUGUUUUCUAAUCAUUUCUUUCUUGACAGGUGGCGAAACACAAGACUGGCUAGAUGGCCCCCGCACACUUUGCCGUCAUGGAACCCUUUUGGACUUGGCUAAAAAAAAAUUCAUGAGCGGGGUUCAGUCAAACAUGCACCGAACCAACCACGCCAGCCACCUCCAUCACAGCAGCUUCGUCAGAGGACCCUACAGACACCAAUAGAAUCGAACCAGCACCGGAAUCGGAGGAGACACUUACCUCGCACGGAAGAAGAUGGUUGUGCACAUAUUAUCCCAUCGGGUCACUGCAGCCAGACGCAGGCCAUACUUACCCUGCAGAACACGGAGGAAGGAAGGAUUCUGCUCUUGGAGUGCCAAGCACGUCUUGGAGAAGGUUACAUGAAAAAGGUCACAGACCGAGUGAGGACUGAGAUUAGGAAGCAACAGAGGUCCAUCCCAGGGAGCAACUUAUCCCAGACGCUUUAGCGGAACCGGACCGGAUGGAAUUCAACAAAGGACGGAACUGUUUCUUUUUCAUUUUAGUGACAGUUCUUUUCUAGUAAAAAGGACUAACAGAGAAAAUACGGUAUUUCAUUUUCUUUCAGGGUUAUCAGUAGAUAAAUAGUCUUG